UACGUAGGUGGCAAGCGUUGUCCGGAUUUAUUGGGUUUAAAGGGUGCGUAGGCGGUCUGUUAAGUCAGUGGUGAAAUACUUCAGCUCAACUGGAGAGGUGCCAUUGAUACUGGCGGACUUGAGUACUGAUGAGGUAGGCGGAAUGGACGGUGUAGCGGUGAAAUGCUUAGAUAUCGUCCAGAACACCGAUAGCGAAGGCAGCUUACUAAGGAGUAACUGACGCUGAGGCACGAAAGUGUGGGGAUCAAACAGG
rnacentral:rRNA from 1 species